rnacentral:rRNA from 1 species
AACGAGCGCUGGCGGCAGGCCUCAAACAUGCAAGUCUAGGGGGUGCAGCAAUGCAUCACCGGCGGACGGGUGCGUAACGCGUGGGAAUAUACCUUUUGGUUCGGAACAACUGCGGGAAACUGCAGCUAAUACCGAAUGUGCCCUAACGGGGAAAGAUUUAUCGCCAAAGGAUUAGCCCGCGUAGGAUUAGCUAGUUGGUGAGGUAAUGGCUCACCAAGGCUCCGAUCCUUAGCUGUUCUGAGAGGAAGAUCAGCCACA